rnacentral:rRNA from 1 species
GACGAACGCUGGCGGCGUGCUUAACACAUGCAAGUCGAACGAUGAACCCGGAGCUUGCUCUGGGGGAUUAGUGGCGAACGGGUGAGUAACACGUGAGUAACCUGCCCUGGACUCUGGGAUAAGCGUUGGAAACGACGUCAAAUACCGGAUAGGACCUUGGAUCGCAUGAUCUGGGGUGGAAAGUUUUUUCGGUCUGGGAUGGACUCGCGGCCUAUCAGCUUGUUGGUGAGGUAAUGGCUCACCAAGGCGUCGACGGGUAGCCGGCCUGAGAGGGUGACCGGCCACACUGGGACUGAGACACGGCCCAGACUCCUACGGGAGGCAGCAGUGGGGAAUAUUGCACAAUGGGCGAAAGCCUGAUGCAGCAACGCCGCGUGCGGGAUGACGGCCUUCGGGUUGUAAACCGCUUUUAGUAGGGAAGAAGGGCUUCGGCUUGACGGUACCUGCAGAAAAAGGACCGGCUAACUACGUG